GCGGUGGCGUCUGGUGUGGAGUUCGGGCUUCAAGACCA
rnacentral:tRNA from 1 species